UAUGGCCACAUCAAAUUGAAAUAGCAGUUCCUGUAUGAUCUUCAAAGUUAAGCAACAUCAAACCUGGUCAGUACCUAGAUGGGUGACCACCUGGGAAUACUAGGUGCUGUAA